rfam:Ciona savignyi cont_40254, whole genome shotgun sequence.
GGCGUCGUGGCCGAGUGGUUAAGGCGACAGACUUGAAAUCUGUUGGGCUCUGCCCGCACAAGUUCGAAUCUUGUCGGCGACG